GGGAAUGUGGCUCAGUGGUAGAGCACUUGCCUAGAAGACAGGAAGCCCUGGGUUCGAUUCCUCAGUACCA
rnacentral:tRNA from 1 species